rnacentral:lncRNA from 1 species
GACGGGGCAGGUUCAGGCCCCUCCCAUCAGGCGGCCAGCGCGAGCGGUAGAGGCGGGUCUGGAGGCGGGGCCUGCGUGGAGCCAGACGGCGCGGCUGCUGCCGGGGGCGGGGCCGACGGGCUGUGGCCCCGCCCUUGGCCGCCAUUGCCGGGUCUGCCUGGCCGCUCUGCGCAGCGACCUUGCCUCCUCUUGCCGGGCGGAGCGGCUCAGCGGGCCUGACAGGGAGCCUUCCUGACCGAGCCCACGUCUCCCCACGGCCAGACAAGUCUCCGGCCCGGCCCGCGUCGCCAGUCCCCAGGCUUGGAGGAACGGCCCGAGCCCAGGAGAACCACCUCUACGUCCCAGCCCCGGAGGCUCCUGUGGGCAAGAUCGUGAGCCAACGGGUUCCUGAGGCCCCUCCCGGCCAGGCAGGGUUUCUCCGCGCGUUUCCGAGGAGCCCUGCCUGGCCGGGCGGCUGGACAAACAGUGCACUUGCCGGCGGUCCCAACCCAGCAGGAGGAGAGUGGACAUGAGGUUGGCAGGUGGGUGGCUUCCGCAGCGAACGGGAGGGAGUUGAAAAGGGCACCUGGAUGGAGGCCCAGCGUUCCGACAUCUGUGUCUGGAGAGGCGCGGGUGGACCACUGGGUUUGGUUUUGGAAAUUUCGGAGGACUCUGUACAAACACUCAUUCCUUGACCUUAAGCAAAUCCUUUCACCUCUGAGGACAUCAGCUCCCCGAGAUAUGACAGGAGGAUUAGUAUAGUCAGUAUCUCCCAAUGCAGGUAGUAGACCAGCUGCUUUUUGGAAAAUGAGCGGUGAGAGAGAGGAGGUGAGGAGUCCAGGUGGAGAGGCGUGAUCUUAGAGGGGAAGUGACAAAAGUGGCUGUGGGCUUCAACAUGAACCCGAUGACAGCCCUACUGUCACCUGGACAACUAAGAUGAAGAUCCUUGGGGAGGGAUAGGUUGGGGCGGGGUGGAGAGUGGAAAGAACUCAGGAAUUGAACUUCAGACUUGCUAAGGUGGUAACUUUGUGGACAUAUCCAAGUGGAGCUGGCCAGUGAGGAACCAGCUGGCAGGGAGUGGUUUCAAGAGAGGCCACAGCUGGAACUAGAAAAUAGGAAGUCAUUGACACAUGGUGGUUAAUUAAACAGCUGGGAAUAGAUGACAUCAUCUAAAAAGACACUACAGGCUGGGCGCGGUGACUCACAUCUGUAAUCCCAGCAGUUUGGGAGGCCGAGGCGGGCAGAUCACUUGAAGUCAGGAGUUUGAGACCAGCCUGGCCAACAUGGUGAAUCCCCAUCUCUACUUAAAAAAUACAAAAAAAUUAGCGGGGCGUGGUGGUGGGUGCUUGUAAUCCCAGCUACCCGGGAGGCUGAGGUUGCAGUGAGCCGAGAUUGUGCCACUGCACACUCCAGCCUGGGCGACAGAGCGAGACUCCGUCUCAAAAAAAUAAAAAUAAAAAGACAACUGGGCGCA